rnacentral:lncRNA from 1 species
AAAGAAAUGAUUUUCGAGCAUCUCACAUCUUAAAGUAUAGGAAAAAAUGUGGGAAAAUUCGAGAAAGUUUUGAAUAGGUCUAAUCUGACAUUGAUUCAACUUAAAAGCCAUAUAUCGACGGAAAAAUAACUUCAAAGUGUAUGAACAUACGUCGUCACCGGAUGCACUUUAUAUAGUUGUCCGGAUUCAAAUACCAAUACAUUAUAAAGAUGAGGUUUAUCAACGAGGUAAAGAACUCUUUGGCUCAUCAAAUCAUAUUUUUUUAAAUAACAUGCUGUUAUUAUUGUUUUAUUCUUGAAGAGAUAAAGUCUUCAGUGAUUCUUUAAAAAAGAAACAUGUUCUCUUUUCCGAAGUUUUAAUAUAUAAGCUACCUAACGUUAGUUAGUUGGUUGGUAGCCACUCUGUCCUUCAUUCAAAAUGACAAAUAAGUUUCAUUAUUGAAUAACUACGUGUGGAUGUUUUUAUGAAAAAUUGGAGAGUAAAAUCGAAAAUUUUUUAUCUUCUAUAUUAUUAAAGCAAAAUUUGUAUGAUUGUCGACGCCUAAUAACUCUGGGAAAGGCUGGGUACAACUGCUAGUUAAAUCUAUAUGAAUAAUCUAAAUAUAGAAAAACUAGUCACCGGGUGCACUGUAUAUAGUGCUCCAAAAUGAUGUUUUUGUGGACAAAUAAUGAUUAAUAAAGAGGAAAGAGCAAUUUCAACCAAUUAGGCAAAAGGUAUUAUUACACUUGUAUCAGUUACAUCGAAACUCAUUAAUUAAAUUAGUAUAAAUAUGAUUAUUACUUAAUAAAAUUUAUUGUAUCAGUUCAGAGUUACACAGAAUAAAUCUAUUAGUAUAAUA